AUCCUUGCUUAUAAGCCGGGGGACUAGUCUUUGCUAUGUUCACUAGUAAAAUGCGAGGAAAAUGAUAGAGACAACCAGACACCGUGCAAACUCUGGUUUGUUCGGUCACUAUGUCUGUCCCACAUAA
rnacentral:snoRNA from 1 species